rnacentral:rRNA from 1 species
UACGUAGGGUGCAAGCGUUGUCCGGAAUUAUUGGGCGUAAAGAGCUCGUAGGCGGUCUGUCGCGUCUGCCGUGAAAGUCCGGGCUCAACUCCGGAUCUGCGGUGGUACGGGCAGACUAGAGUGAUGUAGGGGAGACUGGAAUUCCUGGUGUAGCGGUGAAAUGCGCAGAUAUCAGGAGGAACACCGGUGGCGAAGGCGGGACUCUGGGCCGAUACUGACGCUGAGGAGCGAAAGCGUGGGGAGCAAACAGG